rnacentral:rRNA from 1 species
UACGAAGGGGGCUAGCGUUGUUCGGAUUUACUGGGCGUAAAGCGCACGUAGGCGGAUCUUUAAGUCAGAGGUGAAAUCCCAAGGCUCAACCUUGGAACUGCCUUUGAUACUGGGGAUCUUGAGUCCGGGAGAGGUGAGUGGAACUGCGAGUGUAGAGGUGAAAUUCGUAGAUAUUCGCAGGAACACCAGUGGCGAAGGCGGCUUACUGGUCCAUAACUGACGCUGAGGUGCGAAAGCGCGGGGAGCAAACAGG